UUUUGGUUGAGAUGUUAAAUGGUGGACGAG
rnacentral:piRNA from 1 species